rnacentral:lncRNA from 1 species
AAGUAGUCAUGGUUAAUGACUGUCCUAUUAGGCAGAGCUCAUCCAAAUUGCUGAGCAACUAAAUCUCUUUCCUCAUUGGUCAGAUUCCAGCCCCUACCCAAUUUCCUCUGCAAUUGUUUAUGAGUGUCAGCUCCAGAGAGCACUUGAAUGCUGAUGAACAGGAGUCUGAGCUGAGCUGAAGUCUCCAGCUUACUGUUGAAUAAUUAAGGCCCUUUUUCUGUGAAGUCAACAUGAUUAAUCAUAUUGGUAUGAGGCAUCAGGAUAGCAAACAAAACAGUUUCAGAAGAUGAGGAAGACAUACAGAGGAAAACACUGUCAAUCUUGUAGUCCUACUACAAAUAGGCCGAGCUCACCUGAUGGACAUGUGCUACCAAAGAACUCAUGCUCCAGGAUAAAAGCAAGAUAUCAUAUAAAUAGAUCAAAUAGCUUCACUUCAGUAUCAAACUCUAGCAACAGAAUAUGCAGAUGUAGGUUUUGUUUCUGUCAUUUAUUUUGGGGGUUGAUUUUGUGGUCUUUAUUGGUUGUUACUAAGCCAACAAUUAGAAAACCUCUCUCCUUUUCAUUAAAAGGUAAAAAUAGAACUGUACUUUUAAUGCCUACAAAAGCUUUGGGAAUUGACUCUUUGGGAGAUCUUGCAUUCACAUAUGAGAAUGUGCAUUCCUCUUUGGUAUUUAGCAUCCCUAGCUAGAGUUUGCAGGCAGCCAGUAAGGCUGUUCAUUCAGUGUGGGAAGGGGGACCAUGAGGGUGCUAAGUAAAUGCUGCCAGUCAGCAAGUACUCUGAGUAAUAAUCUAACAUAGGAAUAAUUAAGAUGUAAAAUAAAUGCUUCUUGAUUUGAAAACA